GAUAAACGCUAGCGACAGGCCUAACACAUGCAAGUCGAGGGGCAUCACGUCUUCGGAUGGUGGCGACCGGCGCACGGGUGAGUAACACGUAUGCAACCUACCUGUAAGAGGGGAAUAACCCGGAGAAAUUCGGACUAACACCGCAUAAUACAUAAUUACCGCAUGGUAUUUAUGUUAAAUAUUUAUAGCUUACAGAUGGGCAUGCGUAUGAUUAGCUAGUUGGUGAGGUAACGGCUCACCAAGGCAACGAUCAUUAGGGGUUCUGAGAGGAAGGUCCCCCACACUGGUACUGAGACACGGACCAGACUCCUACGGGAGGCAGCAGUGAGGAAUAUUGGUCAAUGGGCGAGAGCCUGAACCAGCCAUGUCGCGUGAAGGAAGAAUGUCCUAUGGAUUGUAAACUUCUUUUAUACAGGAAUAAAGUGUACUACGUGUAGUAUUUUGUAUGUACUGUAUGAAUAAGGAUCGGCUAACUCCGUG
rnacentral:rRNA from 2 species